rnacentral:rRNA from 1 species
GCAAGUCGAACGCAGUAGCAAUACUGAGUGGCAAACGGGUGAGUAUAAUGUGGGAAUCUGCCUUUUGGUUUGGAAUAACACGGGGAAACUUGUGCUAAUACCGAAUAAGCCUUUACAGGGAAAGUUUUAAUGCCGAAAGAUGAGCCCGCACUUGAUUAGCUAGUUGGUAAGGUAAAAGCUUACCAAGGCAAUGAUCAAUAGCUGUUCUUAGAGGAAGACCAGCCACAUUGGGACUGAGACACGGCCCAGACUCCUACGGGAGGCAGCAGUGGGGAAUCUUGCACAAUGGGGGAAACCCUGAUGCAGCGAUGCCGCGUGAGUGAAGAAGGCCUUUGGGUUGUAAAACUCUUUCGUCGGGGAAGAAAAUGACUGUACCCGAAUAAGAAGGUCCGGCUAACUUCGUGCCAGCAGCCGCGGUAAUACGAAGGGACCUAGCGUAGUUCGGAAUUACUGGGCUUAAAGAGCUCGUAGGUGGUUAAAAAAGUUGAUGGUGAAAUCCCAAGGCUCAACCUUGGAACUGCCAUCAAAACUUUUUAGCUAGAGUGUGAUAGAGGUAAGUGGAAUUUCUAGUGUAGAGGUGAAAUUCGUAGAUAUUAGAAAGAACACCAAAUGCGAAGGCAACUUACUGGGUCACUACUGACACUGAGGAGCGAAAGCAUGGGUAGCGAAGAGGAUUAGAUACCCUCGUAGUCCCUGCCGUAAACGAUGUGUGCUAGACGUUGGAAAU